GGAACGUAGCUCAGUUGGUAGAGCAGCGGACUCUUAAUCCGUCGGUCCAGAGUUCGAGUCUCUGCGUUCCC
rnacentral:tRNA from 1 species